GAAUUUUUCCUGUCCAGGAUUAAGCUGACGCAAUAAUAAUCAGAAACUACACCGACAGGACAUAUCGGAUUUCUUCCGCAUCUUCCGCAGGAUCGACUUGACACAGAUCGAAAAUUAUAGCAUCGAGGAGACGUGCUUAUUUUUUCCUCGGAUUGACCUGAUUAAAGACAAAAUGUAUGGG